rnacentral:tRNA from 1 species
GGGUGGUUAGCUCAGCUGGGAGAGCAUCGGCCUUACAAGCCGAGGGUCGCAGGUUCAAUCCCUGCACCACCCACCA